GUUACCAUAGUUCAGUGGUAGAACUGUUCCCCAUGUUGAAUUCUCAGCAUGUCGGGAGGUCGGAGGUUCGAAUCCUUCGGGUGCCA